rnacentral:rRNA from 1 species
UACGGAGGGUGCAAGCGUUAUCCGGAUUCACUGGGUUUAAAGGGUGCGUAGGUGGCUUUGUAAGUCAGUGGUGAAAUCUUAGAGCUUAACUCUAAAACUGCCAUUGAUACUGCUUAGCUUGAAUCAAGUAGAGGUGGGUGGAAUAUUACAUGUAGCGGUGAAAUGCUUAGAUAUGACACAGAACACCGAUUGCGAAGGCAGCUCACAAAACUAUAACUGACGCUGAGGCACGAAAGCGUGGGGAUCAAACAGG